CCUACGGGUGGCAGCAGUGAGGAAUAUUGGUCAAUGGACGAGAGUCUGAACCAGCCAAGUAGCGUGAAGGAUGACUGCCCUAUGGGUUGUAAACUUCUUUUAUAUGGGAAUAAAAUGUUCCACGUGUGGGAUUUUGUAUGUACCAUAUGAAUAAGGAUCGGCUAACUCCGUGCCAGCAGCCGCGGUAAUACGGAGGAUCCGAGCGUUAUCCGGAUUUAUUGGGUUUAAAGGGAGCGUAGGUGGAUUGUUAAGUCAGUUGUGAAAGUUUGCGGCUCAACCGUAAAAUUGCAGUUGAUACUGGCAGUCUUGAGUACAGUAGAGGUGGGCGGAAGUCGUGGUGUAGCGGUGAAAUGCUUAGAUAUCACGAAGAACUCCGAUUGCGAAGGCAGUUCACUGGACUGCAACUGACACUGAGGCUCGAAAGUGUGGGUAUCAAACAGGAUUAGAUACCCUUGUAGUC
rnacentral:rRNA from 1 species